rnacentral:rRNA from 1 species
AACGAACGCUGGCGGCAUGCCUAACACAUGCAAGUCGAACGAGACCUUCGGGUCUAGUGGCGCACGGGUGCGUAACGCGUGGGAACCUGCCCUUAGGUUCGGAAUAAAUCCCCGAAAGGGGUGCUAAUACCGGAUAAUGUCUUCGGACCAAAGAUUUAUCGCCUUUGGGUGGGCCCGCGUUGGAUUAGCUAGUUGGUAGGGUAAAAGCCUACCAAGGCGACGAUCCAUAGCUGGUCUGAGAGGAUGAUCAGCCACACUGGGACUGAGACACGGCCCAGACUCCUACGGGAGGCAGCAGUGGGGAAUAUUGGACAAUGGGCGAAAGCCUGAUCCAGCAAUGCCGCGUGAGUGAUGAAGGCCUUAGGGUUGUAAAGCUCUUUUACCCGGGAUGAUAAUGACAGUACCGGGAGAAUAAGCUCCGGCUAACUCCGUG